CCUACGGGGGGCAGCAGUGAGGAAUAUUGGUCAAUGGACGAGAGUCUGAACCAGCCAAGUAGCUUGAAGGAUGACUGCCCUAUGGGUUGUAAACUUCUUUUAUAUGGGAAUAAAAUGUUCCACGUGUGGGAUUUUGUAUGUACCAUAUGAAUAAGGAUCGGCUAACUCCGUGCCAGCAGCCGCGGUAAUACGGAGGAUCCGAGCUUUAUCCGGAUUUAUUGGGUUUAAAGGGAGCGUAGGUGGAUUGUUAAGGCAGUUGUGAAAGUUUGCGGCUCAACCGUAAAAUUGCAGUUGAAACUGGCAGUCUUGAGUACAGUAGAGGUGGGAGGAAUUCGUGGUGUAGCGGUGAAAUGCUUAGAUAUCACGAAGAACUCCGAUUGCGAAGGCAGUUCACUGGACUGCAACUGACACUGAGGCUCGAAAGUGUGGGUAUCAAACAGGAUUAGAUACCCUUGUAGUC
rnacentral:rRNA from 1 species